AAAUUGAAGAGUUUGAUCAUGGCUCAGAUUGAACGCUGGCGGCAGGCCUAACACAUGCAAGUCGAGCGGUAGCACAGAGAGCUUGCUCUCGGGUGACGAGCGGCGGACGGGUGAGUAAUGUCUGGGAAACAGCCUGAUGGAGGGGGAUAACUACUGGAAACGGUAGCUAAUACCGCAUAACGU
rnacentral:rRNA from 1 species